rnacentral:rRNA from 1 species
UACGAAGGGGCUAGCGUUGUUCGGAAUUACUGGGCGUAAAGCGCGCGCAGGCGGUUCUUCAAGUUCGAGUGGUGAAAGCCCGGAGCUCAACUCCGGAACUGCCAUUGAAACUGUAGAACUUGAAGGAUGAGAGAGGUGAGUGGAAUUCCCAGUGUAGAGGUGAAAUUCGUAGAUAUUACGGAAGAACACCAGUGGCGAAGGCGACUCACUGGACAC